GACGAACGCUGGCGGCGUGCUUAACACAUGCGAGUCGAACGGAAAGGCCCUGCUUUUGUGGGGUGCUCGAGUGGCGAACGGGUGCGUAACACGUGAGUAACCUGCCCUUGACUUUGGGAUAACUUCAGGAAACUGGGGCUACUACCGGAUAGGAGCUCCUGCUGCAUGGUGGGGGUUGGAAAGUUUCGGCGGUUGGGGAUGGACUCGCGGCUUAUCAGCUUGUUGGUGGGGUAGUGGCUUACCAAGGCUUUGACGGGUAGCCGGCCUGAGAGGGUGACCGGCCACAUUGGGACUGAGAUACGGCCCAGACUCCUACGGGAGGCAGCAGUGGGGAAUAUUGCACAAUGGGCGGAAGCCUGAUGCAGCAACGCCGCGUGCGGGAUGACGGCCUUCGGGUUGUAAACCGCUUUCGCCUGUGACGAAGCGUGAGUGACGGUAAUGGGUAAAGAAGCACCGGCUAACUACGUG
rnacentral:rRNA from 1 species